CCUANGGGUGGCUGCAGUCAAGAAUCUUCCCCAAUGGCCGAAAGGCUGAGGGAGCGACGCCGCGUGUAGGAAGAAGCUCUUCGGAGUGUAAACUACUUUUUUGUGGGAAAAAACAAUGAUUGUACCAUAAGAAUAAGGGGCUGCUAACUUCGUGCCAGCAGCAGCGGUAAUACGAAGGCCCCGAGCGUUAUCCGGAUUUAUUGGGCGUAAAGAGCUCACAGGUGGCUGAUCAAGUCUUUGGUUAAAUCCUGAUGCUUAACAUCAGAACUGCUACAGAUACUAGUCAGCUAGAGGGCAGGAGAGGCAGACGGAAUUGCCGGUGUAGUAGUAAAAUGCGUUAAUAUCGGCAAGAACACCAAUAGCGAAGGCAGUCUGCUAGAAUGACCCUGACACUACAAGAGCGAAAGCGUGGGGAGCGAAACGGAUUAGAUACCCGANUANUC
rnacentral:rRNA from 1 species